AAAUUGAAGAGUUUGAUCAUGGCUCAGAUUGAACGCUGGCGGCAGGCCUAACACAUGCAAGUCGAACGGUAACAGGAAGCAGCUUGCUGCUUUGCUGACGAGUGGCGGACGGGUGAGUAAUGUCUGGGAAACUGCCUGAUGGAGGGGGAUAACUACUGGAAACGGUGGCUAAUACCG
rnacentral:rRNA from 10 species